rnacentral:lncRNA from 1 species
AUGGGAAAGACUAGAGAUCUCUUCAAGAAAAUUAGAGAUACCAAGGGAAUAUUUCAUGCAAAGAUGGGCUCGAUAAAAGACAGAAAUGGUAUGGACCUAACAGAAGCAGAAGAUAUUAAGAAGAGGUGGCAAGAAUACACAGAAGAACUGUACAAAAAAGAUCUUCAUGACCCAGAUAAUCAUGAUGGUGUGAUCACUCACCUAGAGCCAGACAUCCUGGAAUGUGAAGUCAAGUGGGCCUUGGAAAGCAUCACUAUGAACAAAGCUAGUGGAGGUGAUGGAAUUCCAGAGGAGCUAUUUCAAAUCCUGAAAGAUGAUGCUGUGAAAGUGCUUCACUCAAUAUGCCAACACAUUUGGAAAACUCAGCAGUGUCCACAGGACUGGAAAAGGUCAGUUUUCAUUCCAAUCCCAAAGAAAAGCAGUGCCAAAGAAUGCUCAAACUACCACACAGUUGCACUCAAUUCACAUGCUAGUAAAGUAAUGCUCAAAAUUCUCCAAGCUAGGCUUCAGCAAUAUGUGAACUGUGAACUUCCUGAUGUUCAAGCUGGUUUUAGAAAAGGCAGAGGAACCAGAGAUCAAAUUGCUAACAUCUGCUGGAUCAUGGAAAAAGCAAGAGAGUUCCAGAAAAACAUCUAUUUCUGCUUUAUUGACUAUGCCAAAGCCUUUGACUGUGUAGAUCACAAUAAACUGUGGAAAAUUCUGAGAGAGAUGGGAAUACCAGACCACCUGACCUACCUCUUGAGAAAUCUGUAUGGAGGUCAAGAAGCAACAGUUAGAACUGGACAUGGAACAACAGACUGGUUCCAAAUAGGAAAAGGAGUACAUCAAGGUUGUAUAUUGUCAUCCUGCUUAUUUAACUUCUAUGCAGAGUACAUCAUGAGAAACACUGGACUGGAAGAAGCACAAGCUGGAAUCAAGAUUGCCGGGAGAAAUAUCAAUAACCUCAGAUAUGCAGAUGACACCACCCUUAUGGCAGAAAGUGAAGAGGACCUAAAAAGCCUCUUGAUGAAAGUGAAAGAGGGGAGUGAAAAAGUUGGCUUAAAGCUCAACAUUCAGAAAACGAAGAUCAUGGCAUCUGGUCCCAUCACUUCAUGGGAAAUAGAUGGGGAAACAGUGGAAACAGUGUCAGACUUUAUUUGGGGGGGCUCCAAAAUCACUGCAGAUGGUGACUGCAGCCAUGAAAUUAAAAGACGCUUACUCCUUGGAAGAAAAGUUAUAACCAACCUAGAUAGCAUAUUGAAAAGCAGAGACAUUACUUUGCUGACUAAGGUCCGUCUAGUCAAGGCUAUGGUUUUUCCUGUGGUCAUGUAUGGAUGUGAGAGUUGGACUGUGAAGAAGGCUGAGUGCCAAAGAAUUGAUGCUUGA